GGCCUACGGGUGGCUGCAGUCGAGAAUCUUCGGCAAUGGGCGCAAGCCUGACCGAGCGAUGCCGCGUGCGGGAUGAAGGCCUUCGGGUUGUAAACCGCUGUCGUAGGGGAGCAAGGGGAAACCUUGAGCGAUCCUAGGAGGAAGGACGGGCUAAGUUCGUGCCAGCAGCCGCGGUAAUACGAACCGUCCAAACGUUAUUCGGAAUCACUGGGCUUAAAGAGUUCGUAGGCGGCUUGGAAAGUAGGGUGUGAAAUCCCACGGCUUAACCGUGGAACUGCGCCCUAAACUACCAAGCUUGAGGGAGCUAGAGGUAAGCGGAACUGAUGGUGGAGCGGUGAAAUGCGUUGAUAUCAUCAGGAACACCGGAGGCGAAGGCGGCUUACUGGGGCUUUUCUGACGCUGAGGAACGAAAGCCAGGGUAGCGAACGGGAUUAGAUACCCCGGUAGUCG
rnacentral:rRNA from 1 species